rnacentral:rRNA from 1 species
CUUGAAACACGGACCAAGGAGUCUAGCAUGUGCGCGAGUCAUUGGGAAUAACUAAACCUAAAGGCGCAAUGAAAGUGAAGGUCCGCCUCGCGCGGACCGAGGGAAGAUGGGCGGUCGCCACCGCAAGAUGGCCCGCCCCGCACUCCCGGGGCGUCUCGUUCUCAUUGCGAGAAGAGGCGCACCAAGAGCGUACACGCUGGGACCCGAAAGAUGGUGAACUAUGCCUGGUCAGGACGAAGUCAGGGGAAACCCUGAUGGAGGUCCGUAGCGAUUCUGACGUGCAAAUCGAUCGUCGGAACUGGGUAUAGGGGCGAAAGACUAAUCGAACCAUCUAGUAGCUGGUUCCCUCCGAAGUUUCCCUCAGGAUAGCUGGCGCUCGUCGCCUACGAGUCUCAUCCGGUAAAGCGAAUGAUUAGAGGCAUUGGGGUCGAAACGGCCUCAACCUAUUCUCAAACUUUAAAUGGGUGAGAUCUCCGGCUUGCUCGAACUUAUGAAGCCGCGAGACACGGAUCAGAGUGCCAAGUGGGCCAUUUUUGGUAAGCAGAACUGGCGCUGUGGGAUGAACCAAACGCCGAGUUAAAGCGCCUAAAUCGACGCUUAUGGGAUACCAUGAAAGGCGUUGGUAACUUAAGACAGCAGGACGGUGGCCAUGGAAGUCGGAAUCCGCUAA